rnacentral:misc_RNA from 1 species
UGUAGGAGUGAGCCUGCUCGCGAUGGCGUACUGUCAGUCGCUACCUUCUUUGAAUGCAUGACCGCUAUCGCGAGCAGGCUCACUCCUACA